rnacentral:lncRNA from 7 species
UUAAAACAAGCACUUAGAAAACACUGGAAUACAGGGCAGUGGUCCCAUUUUGCCAGUCUUGCUCUUAAAGGGUUAUACUAAUGUAUCCAGGUAGCAGUUCACAAAGGAAGAGUCCUGUAUAUCUCCCUUAUUUAGGCAUAUGUUUAUCCAAAUUGGGUUUUGAUAAGAAGACUGCAGCUGGAUCUUUAUUAUCUGAGACAAGUGGCGAUAUUAGCUGUUCAGAGUUCAUGAUGGAAAUGUAUCUGCAUACUGGCGUGCAUCCAGCUGCACUUCACAAAGCAACUGAUGAUAUCAAAAACAGAGAGAUCAGGAGGCUGAUAUUACACGCUAAGUCUGUUCUGUAAAAUCUCAGUAGCCUUUUGGUGCAUGGAACUUCGGCACACGCAAACUGUGACUGCAGCGACGUCCUCAACGUGAAGUUAACAGUUAAAGAUGGUAUCUGUAAGCACAGGGAGCCUCCAGACCCUGCCUGUAGGACGGACCUGUCUAUGGGCCUCCUCACUUGAUGCAAAGAUGGAGAUAGUGCAAACCACGGCAUGUUUAGCCCCACCUAUGGUAAGGCUUACCCUGUUUACUAAUACAGCCUUCAAACACAAGGCUGCAUUUCUGCCUGGGAAACUCUUCUUACCGCUGGUUUUGUUGCUGUUGGAGGCAUAGAAACAUUUUCUCCUCUCUGCUUUUCAUCAUUUUGUGGUAUCGGCGUUCCCUUAACAUAACCCAGUAUUUCGACCAUCAAACUAAUAACUUUAUUGAAACACUUUUACGUUCUUUCCAGAAUUGACACUUUAAUGUCACCUCGCUGAGGUAGAACAACAGCCAGUGUGGGUAAGGGCAGUGCAUUCAAAUGGGCGGAAAAACAAUUGGUAACAUUUCUACUUGGCCUGCCUAAUUCCAUAACAGUGCUGCUUCACUGAAAGGCAUACACGAAGCUCCAUCGCAAGAGGGACUGCUGGCAAAGCACACCACAGCCUUCUGACCUUGUUUAGCUCUAACUGGAUUAAACAUAUGGGAUCGCAGCACUCAUGGGAGAUGAGGGCUCUUCCACCAUCUCCUGGUCUGCCUGCUCGGUUUCCUUUUCCGUUCUGCUAUGCUUCAUUGAAGGCAGAAAUAACGUCCGUAUGCGGUAGCUCUGAUUCAGUGUUACUCUGGCAGGUUGUGUUUAAGCUGGGUUCCCUAGAUUACUGGAUCUGCGUUUGCCCAUGGCAGAUUUAUUUAAUCAGAACUGCAACCAUCGUUCAUUUUUGGAGUGCAGAGCCCUGGAAACCACGCUGGACUCCGUUUCGGCAAAUUUAAGCAUUUAUUCCCAUUUACCGCUGUCCAAAUUUCCUGAGAGAAAUAAAGCGGCGUUUGAAG